ACCAGGGGGGGCAGGGCCUAACACAUGCAAGUCGAGCGGUAACAGGGGAAGCUUGCUUCCCGCUGACGAGCGGCGGACGGGUGAGUAAUGUAUGGGGAUCUGCCCGAUAGAGGGGGAUAACUACUGGAAACGGUAGCUAAUACCGCAUAAUCUCUCAGGAGCAAAGCAGGGGAACUUCGGUCCUUGCGCUAUCGGAUGAACCCAUAUGGGAUUAGCUAGUAGGUGAGGUAAUGGCUCACCUAGGCGACGAUCCCUAGCUGGUCUGAGAGGAUGAUCAGCCACACUGGGACUGAGACACGGCCCAGACUCCUACGGGAGGCAGCAGUGGGGAAUAUUGCACAAUGGGCGCAAGCCUGAUGCAGCCAUGCCGCGUGUAUGAAGAAGGCCCUAGGGUUGUAAAGUACUUUCAGUCGGGAGGAAGGCGUUGAUGCUAAUAUCAUCAACGAUUGACGUUACCGACAGAAGAAGCACCGGCUAACC
rnacentral:rRNA from 1 species